GAGUUUUUCGGGAAGUUGUGAAAAUUUCAUCAAAAUUCAUCGAAAAACAAAAAAGUUGUGUCCAUUUUUGUGCUUUUGCGAAGGUGGAAAAUGUAAGUUGGCUGGAUGAAGGUUAAUCUACGCAUAAUCACAGACUGGUAUUGCAGAUCAUCGGCAUGUCAAACUGAAAGUAAAUGUUUAUUCUUACUCAAAACCCAUGACAAAAUUAAUCUAGUACUGCACAUUGUAACAGACACAAAUACAACCUGAAAAGAUUCGUCCCCCAUUAAUAAAAGCUAUGAAAUCAAACAAAACGUCUGCUAAUCUAGUACUGCAUGUUUUUCUAUCUUCCGCUACUGAUCACUAGUUUACAUUUCUCUGCAGCCACGGAACUGGACUCUAAACAACCACUGAUGGUCCUUAGUAGAGCCGGCACGUUGCAGCUUCGCUACAACGGUCACACAUUUAACAAACAUGUAACUCGUGGCGAAAAAGUCUACUGGAGAUGCAGUCAGUACCUGGUGUACCGGUGCAAAGUGCGCAUUCAGACCAUGAUGGAUGAGUUCUCCAUCAGCAAGAAUGACCAUAAUCAUCCAGUAGUAGUGCGGCCUCGCGCGUACGGAUCGCUGAAGCUGUUGAAGCAACGGUUGGGCAACAUUAGAUCGUGAUACUGAAUAAAUAUGACGAAAGAUCUACAAUUUUAAGGUUUAUGAUACCGAAAUUCUCUCGCAUUUUUGUAUUGUAACAGUGCACUCAGCCGAUCAUCUCAUUCUUGUCUUCUAAUCGAGUGAUUCUAAUUUUAGCUGCAACGUCAUUCGCCCUACCAAUCAACAGACCAGACUUUGAGUUCCGAAGAUCAACACAACGUGGCACUCACUUGCUGAUGGUCAACGGAGUGAAGUUCUUUCGCAAUCGCCAGCGAAACGAUAAGCAUUACUGGAAGUGCCAUCAGUACUAUAAAUGCAAGUGUCCCUGUACGGUCGUCAUCAAUGAGACCACGUCCAAUAUCACUGUAAAGUACAGACACAAUCACGACGAAAGUUUGACGUCAUUUGAUUCUAGUACUACAGCAGCUCGAGUUUAUCCAAAUAAGCGCAUCAAAUAAAGUUUUUUUGCAAGAUAACAUGUGUUUUGUCUUGAUAAUAUUUCGCCUUUUGGUCAUACCUUACCAUUUCUAACCGUCAAACCUACUACCUUUCAGAAAUCUACUUCACGAAAUCGAGCCGAGGCCGUCCGGCAAUCAUUAUCGAUGGCGUCAAGUAUCUGUUCAUGUCGGAGAAUCACAAGCGAGUAGUUUGGCGGUGUUCUUCAAUGGCCACCAGCAAGCUCAAGUGUCCAGCCCGGAUAUUGCAGUACAAGAACCCUGAGCGCUUUGUCAUUCACCGGGAAAAGCACAUCCAUGCGCCUCUGAAGCGUCACAAGGUGGCUUUCAUCGCUCAAGAAAUGUUCACGGUUUUGGAUUGAGAAGUACGUGUCGAUAUCACAGCAUGUCGUUUGGAAAUAAAUUUUAUAGUUUUAUCCCUGUGCGUUUGCUUCGACCGUUCUAGUACUUCGUUUUGGAAAAAUUUAAAUAUUCACGCUUUACUUACAGUUUUGCAACUUUCUUUGUAGAGUACAAGCACCAUCUGUCCGUGACGAGCAGUAAUGGCCAGGUGCUUACCUAUCGCAGCAGCCAGAAAGGUCGGCUACAGCUGUCGUGCGAUGGAUUCUACUACGUCAAGGAGAAAACCGUGAAGCAGAAGGAGUAUUGGCGCUGCAUCUAUUACACCACCAAGAUCAAAUGUCAUGGGCGAUUACACACCUUGAACGGGGAAAUUCACCACAGUACGCCCCACAAUCACGUGGCCGGAGUGUUCAAACGAUCCGACUACAAUCGUCUUUCGGAAAUUAUGAUAAAUACGGAAUCGGGUAUUGCCGGGCAGCCGUCGACACAAUCUAUCUGUAUAGAAAGUGUAACUAAAGUCGAACGAUACUGAAAAUAAAUCUUUAAGUUUAGUUAUAAAUAUUUGUUUUGGCUUCGGAGUUGGUUGUAGAGCGCUACUGAAGGCGAACCAAAUCGAAACCAAUUAGUACUGACUUAUUUGUUUGGUUCGCCCUAUUUUUAGGAUCCACCACAAUGACGGUGAUGGACACGUUGGACGUACCGGCUAUCGAGUUCAGCAGAACGCAGCGAGGUCGCACCAUGCUGAUCUACGACGGGUACAAAUACGUGGAAAAUCGUCAGAGCAACAAGAACGUAUUCUGGCGCUGCUCAAAAUACGUCAAGUAUGCCUGCCGGGCGACCUGUGUGACGUCCAAGAGCCCGAGUGAAUGUCCUAUUCGGCUGGCUGGCAAUGCCCACUCGCAUGGGCCGGAAAAAAUGUCGGACAGUGACAAAAUUGAACCCUCCGAUGAAUCCGACAUUCAGUUCCGGUUGAUGCAAUUGUACUAGAUACGCUUGUUGAUUGAAGUACUAGAUUUUUAUCCGAAAUGCAACUAUUUAUUGGAAGUAAAUUCGAAUUUCUGAUAGAUACAAUUUUCUUGUACUUCAAAUUGAACGUUGACAAAAUGUGCUUGCAAUCAUAUUAAAAAAAUAUGGACAAAACAUCAGUUACCAGAAUUUCCAGUACGGAAAAUGUAAACACGCCAAUCUAGUACUACAUUUUGAUGAAAAUUUUCUUUCGAAGGUAGUUUAUCAAAAUUCUGAAUUGAAAUCUUGUCAUUAGCGGUUUAAUUUCUAAGCAGAUGAAUCUAGUACUGCAUCGUGCUGUUUAUAUUGAAAUAAAUUUUCGCAUUUGCAGAUUUGAUUAAUGAUACUCGUUUUGAUGAAGCUCCACCUGUUGGUAUCUCAAUAACGAUCUUCUGUACUUUCAGUAACAAACCAUUUCGUGACAGCAAAGUUUGGAUACACUCAACGGGGACACGUGAUGCUAAUGUACAACGGGUACGGAUUUAUCAAAGACCGCCAAACGGCGAAGACCUGCAACUGGAAGUGGUCGCUGUUCCGAAGGAUGAAAUGUCGUGGGCGAGCCAUUACCAAAAUCGCCGACGGUAAGCACAUGAUGAGGAUUACCCAUGAGAAACACACGCACAGUCGGGAUGAGUAUCGAAAAGAGAUGUAAGGCACGUAAUCAUUAAAAAUGCAAGAAGCUGGAGCCGGAGGACAAACCCGAAUCAAUAACAAAGUCAUACUAGCGAGGCGGACAUUAGUAGCAGAAUGCAAGUUCUCAAAUACCAAAAGGUGAGAACUUCGCGAACAAUAUCAAUGCCUAUGUAACAUAUGUAUUGGUCAUUUCAUCAUUUCAUUUUCAUAGGACACGAUCGGUGAACUACUAGAUUUAUAGUGAUGAGCUGAAUUUUUGUAUGUGGAGAAGGUCAAUUCUCCGUUUUUGCAAUGAAAUGGAUCAAAAAGCGUGGGUAUAAUGGUUACUUGCGUAAUUUGGUGCUGCUUGAACAAAACUUUGGAUAACUGCGUUAAUCGAGUUGCAAGAAAUGAAGAAAAGAACUACACGGUUACCCACGAUUUUUGCACCAAUUCUUUGCUAAAACGGAGAAUUACACCAUACAAAAAUUCAGCUCAUUACUACACAUCUAGUACUACACCGAACGUUUUUGGAUUGAUAAGAAUCUCCCCUGGCUUCGCUGCAAAUACUGCAAGGUUGCCAAAAUGACUUAUUUUUAUCCAAGAGUUUUUAUUAAUCACAUGGAAUUCAAAAUAAAAACAAAUGCAUAAUCUUGCUAGAAUGAUAUUUUAACAAGAAAUACUGAUGGGGGAAAAUGAUCGUUUAAGCUAAAAAUAUCACAAAGCCUGCGAAAAAUAUAUCUGUAGUACUAGAUUUUUUUUUCCCCGAGCUUUAGGGCAGCUCAGUUCGGUUACACCCAACGUGGAAAGAUGAUGCUCCUGUACGAUGGUUUCGCCUACAUCAAAGAUCGUGAUGCCUGGAACAGCUACAACUGGAAGUGUUCGUUGGCCGGAAAGCGAAAAUGUCGCGCCAGAGCCGUUACCAAGACGGCCCUUGGACGCCAAAUGAUGAAAAUUACCAACCCCAAUCACAACCACGACCGAAAAGCGUAUCGAUUCGAUACGGUGAAUUUGUUUUCCGACAAGAAAUAAAAUUAUCAUUUGUGCAUUGUACUGCUUAGUGUUUCAAUCGAUAAUUAUACUGCGGUAGACAUCUCUAUGUGACUUUUGGAGCUAACUGUAUUCUUCAUCAUUUUAGAACUAUUCGCUAAUGCAUACUUUGGAAAAACUCGACGCGGUCACCAAAUGCUUCUGCAUGAAAAUUACAGCUACGUGCGGGAAAAGCAGAAGCAAAGUACAACCAACUGGAAGUGCUCCUGGCAUGUCAAAUUUCGCUGUAAGGCGCGAGCAGUGACGAAAGAAAUCGAGGGUCAGCAUUUUGUUCGAAUAACCUGCGGUUUCCAUACCCAUCCUCCGAACAAUGGCUCCAAGUCUGGUGAUGCGUCGAAACACUACCACGAGAACUAUUAGACAGUGGAAAAUGGUACCAUGGUAAACUACGACCACACACUGGCUCUGUUCAACCGAAGCAUUUGAAAUUAUUUUGUUAAUCAUACAUUGCCAGAAUAAACUUUAUAUACAAAUUGAAGCUUUUUACACUUAUACGAACAUCCGUUUGUGUUGAUCUAGUACUUCACCAUGUAAACUUAUUUUUGACACUCAUACGAACAACCCUUCGCGUCGUUUAAUCGACUGAUCUAGUACCCCAUCAUGUAAAAUAAUUAUCUUUCCCUCUUUUAGAUGACAUGCACGGCUUCUCGCAACGGGCUCACUAUGAGUUCACGUCCAGAGGAACGCAAUGUCUAGUAUACGAUGGCUAUUUCUACAGCAAAAACAAAACAAACGAGGGUGGCGUCCGGGUCAACUGGAAGUGUCGUUACUACCAACGGUUCAAGUGCAAAGCACGAGCACUCACUAAAACAAUCAACGGCUGUGACUAUGUGAAGGUCUCCAGUACGGAGCACACCCACAUGCAAGAGAUGUACUGUCAAGACCUACGACGGAAGCGACGUAGAGCUAUGCACACAGGAUCAUUAGACUAUCAUUUCCUGGGCUGAAGAUCUGUGUGACCUAUAAUAAAAAUAUCUUUGUGGAAAACAUGUUCUUUGAUGACUCUGAUUGCUUGUUCGUUUUAGCUAAGCUAGAUGGGACAGAUUAUUUUUAUGCUGAUUUAUUUGGCUGUUUUUAGGAGGGGCCGACAAAACAGCGGAUCUGGAAAUGGCACAGUUUGGAUCAACCCAGCGGGGGCGACCCCUUCUAGUACAUCAAGACUACACGUACAUCCGCAAUGGAGAGUUUGGCGGCACAAUCAAUUGGCGCUGUUCGGCCUACCGACGACUGAAAUGCAAAGCCAAAGCCAUAACGGUCAAGCACAAUGGCGUGGAGUUCGUAAAACUAUCCUAUGCCUUACACAGCCAUGGCCCCAAGACUGGAAGCGAUCAGCAGUGGAAGCAUGAGUCGGAAACGGUUGAUUUCCUGCGCUGUGAAGAGGAUGAAGAAGCCAUGAUUAAGUGUUUCUUAGAAAAUUGAGAUACGUUGAAUAAAAACGACAAACUUAGAUGUAUUUUCUAUGCAUUUAUUUUCCAUUCUAGUACUACACCUGAGUGUUUGUUGUCAUUCACAUUAUAUCAUUUUAUCUCCUAUACAGGCAACAUUAUUUAUGUGCUGUCGAAACGAGGCACUAAGCAUCUGUUCUUCGAUGGCAACACGUACACACCGAAUGAGAGACCCUAUCCCGGGCAGCGUUCUAGGACGUGGAAGUGUACGUUGUACUACCGAUUGAAAUGCCGAGCCCGUAUCGUUACCAGUGAAGCCAACGGGCUACCCAAGUUGCGUGUGGUAGUAGCCGAACAUACCCACGAAAAGCUGUUUCCCCAUUUGAGCGAGAAAUUCCGAAGUCUAUUCUAGAUCAACGAAGACACAUACCAAAAUCUAGUCCAUCACCGAUUGAUCUCUAUUUUACUCUAGUCUUAUUAAAUCUUAUCGAUUUAGAAAUAAAUGUUCGUGUGCUUUGAUGAUCCGAGUGUUUGGAAGGUUUCAGCUCGUAAUCCUUUUGUCAUGUGUGGUCAGAAGAAUCUAAUCAUUACUGUUUCUCAUUUACUUCUAGACCCGUACGACUGGGGUCCGCUUAGUGCGAUUCGAUUCGUUCACUAUCCGAUUAAAAGCAAAGUGAUAACGAAACUUUUCCAUCAAGGGUUUUCGUACUACCGGAGCAAGCAGGUUAACCAGGCCACCUAUUGGGUGUGCGAUCGUACAAAGCAAAGCAAUUGCCGAGCUCGGAUCACAAUUUUCGAAGAUCAAAGAGUGUACAAAGUGACAAACUCACAUCACACACAUGACCCAAUGUAUACAAAGCUUUGUUUCUAAUAAAUUCGAGUAACUCAUCAUCCCGUUCUACUACUUCAUCCUUUCUAUUGAUUAUUUUUUAUUAUUAGUGUUGAUAACUUAUCUAUCUUCUAGAAAUAAAUUACAUUCCGCCGACUUCGUUGGUUGCCACCAUCAGACCCGACAUCAGUGUAGUACCAGAACAGUAUUUGGUGAAACUAGAACAAGAGAUUCACAUUUCCACCGUGGUUGGUCAACGAGGCAACACAAAGUUGCUGAUCGAAGGAUACACGUACAUUGUCAACAAGAGAAGUAACGGAAAAUGCUAUUGGGGUUGUGCUAAAGCUGUACCCUUCCGUUGUCGCGCCCGACUGAUAACAGAUGACAUCAACUUCUACGAUGUGACGUUCAAAAAUCUAGUACACAAUCAUCGGCCGAACGAAACUAAACGACGAUAAAAACUAACAUCAGAUUUCUGGAUAUGAAAUAAAGCCAAAUUCUUGAACACUAACAGUUUUCUAUGUUUUGUGAAGUACUAGAUUGAUUUGUCGAACUUUUUUUGCUAUCAUCUAAUUCGUUUUUAAAUCUACUUUCAGUGAAGAAAGCACGCCUGUCGGGAGUGCUGAAUCUGGCUGCAUGGACAUUUACACCCGGACAACGAGGUAAACCCAAGCUGGUGAUCGAAAACAAUUCCUUCUUCCGCACCAAAGGGGACACCCAGCGCUCGUACUGGUCCUGUUCGGCGUACAAAUCAAAGAAGUGCAAAUGCAAAGUAGUAACCCAUCGGAAUAGUUUGGUCGUAAAGUACACUCACAAGAGUCAUACGCAUCCGAACGAGUACAACGAUCUGUCCAAGAUCAAUCUGAUCGAUGUGGACAUCAACGAGUUUUACGAUAAACCGGUCGGCGGUGCCGCCUUUGAAGUGAAGAAAGAACCAUCCCUUUAAAUGUUGUUGUAUAGGAUUCCGAAUAAAGUGUCUGUUUUGUAACAUAAGCUAGAUCGGUAACCACAAGUAGUUCUUGAGUUUAAAACAAAAAUAGAAUAACUCUAUUUUCCUAUGAAAUUGUAAAAGUUUCCCCUUUAUUCGUUUAUAGGUAAAUCAAGAUUUUAAGGAAUUAUAACCAAGUGACCGUGUACGCCCAUGAUGGUUUUGGACGGAUACAAUCAAUUUAAAAUACAAUCUUGCCUUUUCCAAAUAUCAGUGCUGAGAGGUUAUCCCUCUACUAACAAUUGCAUACUCAUUUUUUUUUUUUAGAAAAGAAUAACUACGGAGCGACGUGGAGCGGACCUGGUGUGAUGGUUAGAACACAUGACUAUCACGCCGAGGACCUGGGAUCGAAUCCCACUCCCGACAAAACUCACAAAAUGUGGGUUCUUCCUUCGGAAGGGAAGUAAAACGUGGGUCCCGAGAUGAACUAGCCUAAGGCCUAAAAAUCUCGUUAAUACAGAUAAAAAAAAACUACGCAGCCCAGUUUGAAUUCGAGGGCAGAGAUGUGAUGUGAGAUGUGAACUCCAUACAAAAAUAAAUAUCAUCGUCUUAUUUUUGCAUGAUUCGUCGAGAAAUGGUGAGUCUUUUUUUACGCGGUUUUUUGAAUUUUGAACUGAGUUUUUUUACGCGGUACGUAUCUCCCGCGUAAAAAAAACCUGACUGUACGGUUUCCCCAAGCUGCGCCUGGAUGGGUACAUUUACUUGCGCAAUGUCAAAAAGAGCGGAAAAGUCUACUGGGUGUGCGAGCGAGCAAGGAAGACCAAAUGCAAGGCACAAGCUAUAAUCUAUCGAGGAAAAAUACGUAUCAUAAUCAACGAGUUCGACCACAAUCACCGACUGGGGAAAAUGUAAAUAUACGUUGACUUUGCAUAAAAAAGGCAAAAAGUACAUUAUCUCAUGAUGAUGCCCUUAUCCCCCUGUGCGGCAUUCAUAGUGAACAGCUGUAUGGUACGAAUGCAGAACACAAGCAAUAAGCGUUAAAAUUUUGGUUCAUUUCUAAUGAUAAAUCAGGUUCAAAGACCAUUGUCAUAAAAUUGAUGUCAUGCAUGAUAAACAUCGAUUAUCUCCUAUUGAUUCAGUCGUGGCUAUACACAAUGAAUAUCAUUGCAUUCAUCGUGAACACCAGUAUAGCGCGAAAGUAAAACACUAACAAUGUCCGCUAAACAUCCCAUUCAUCAAUUUCAGAUAAUACGAUUUGUGUUCCGUUUGAUAAUUCGGACGUAGCAUUCACCAUCAGUAGGCAGGGAAAACCGAAAAUGAUCUUCAGUGGCCACACUUACCUACGGAACAGCAGCAACGCUCAGAAGACCUACUGGAUAUGUGCUGCGGCCCGAGAACGAAAGUGUCGAUCCCGUGCCAUUACAACCAAAGGCUUGCGCCACGUAACUAUAAGAGAAACGGCGCAUAAUCACUGACUUUGUGAACUAUGGCAAUAUCAAUAAAUAUAAUAGAUAAAAGUUGUUAGUUUUGAUUUUAUCAACUUUUGCAUUCGAAUAUCUGUAUGGAUUGCCAAACUAAUUGCCUUCGGUGUUUGUUUCAGACCCAUCGCGAAAGUACAAGGAGCUGGUAUUUGUUAGCGGUUUAAGGGGAACACCGAAGCUAAUCGUGGAUGGGUAUUCGUUCAUUCGCAACAAAGGAAAUUUCCGGACCACAUAUUGGCGCUGUUCGAAGCUUCGUACGAUGGGUUGCAAGGCCAAAGUAAUAACCUCUCAGUUGGACAACAAGGUGUCCGUUACCGAUCCCGUUCAUUGUCAUAUGCCCGACUAUCGACAAUAUAUCUGAAAUUAUUUGUUCAAUAAACAGAAAAGAAAAGCAAGAUGAUGAUGAAACUGCCUUAUUAGACUAUUGGGUGGAGCUCCUGGCGGAUAAACCGGCGGUAAAUUUCACUUACGUCACCGGUCAGCGUGGAAAACCGAAAAUAUUGUUUGACAAUCAUACCUACAUUUGCUCGAAACAUCUGAAAAAUCGCAAAUACUGGACUUGUGGCAAACAACGAUCGCAAGCGUGCCGGGCACGUCUUAUCACCGAUUCGGACAACACGAUGCUGCUUGCACGCCAGCUUGAGCACACCCAUCCUCCCGAUAUGGACAUUAUCACAAAAUCUAUGUUGUACAGCCAGAAAUAAAUCGACGCGUGGUUUAAAGUUGAAACAUCUAGUACUUCGUGUUUAGUUUAUUUUACUUCAAUUUGUUUUCAAAUUCUUGUACCAUUCGCUAACAAUUCCAUUGUCUUUUUCAGAUAUUAAUUCGCUCAUCGAGUUCGAGUUUAUGACUACUCCCUCUCCCACGCCGCUCAAAUCCCCUUCUCCUUCGACUCAAAUCGCUAGUCGACCAAACAGAUCUAGGCGCCAGCGUAAAGCCGAAUCAAUCGUAUUGGACGAUCAACCUUUGGUGCUGUUCACAUCACAACGGGGGAAGCACCUUCUAGUGUUGGACAACUAUACUUUCUCCAGGAGCAACACCGUUGGAGAAACGACAUACUGGGCGUGCCGAGUGGUUACCGAUCACGUCAAGUGCAAAGCCCGAGCUAGUACUACUCGCAAGGUUAAUGGCCUUUUUAGAGUUAUGCUUGGUAAUGCGACACAUAACCACCUGCCAAAAAUGUCACGCAAGGUCCUACUCGAAUGCGGUGUCGAGCCCAAUGUGUUUUAUUUGAAGAGUUGAAUAAAGUGUGUAUUGAAUGCUUGUUUAUGAUUUUUCCAACUUCGGAAUUUCUUACUAAUACGUACUACUAAUCAGCGGUUAUUUGUAUUUCGUUCUAGUAAUGCAAACUCAGAUGACAUCGGCUGGUGUCAGGAAUAUUCGGAAGCCGAAUGCAGGGAGAGCACGUAAAUCAAAACCGGAUAAUAUCGACAUACCAGAAAUAUUGAAGGGACCUUCGGAGAAAAUGAUUUUGCAAACAUGCAUCGUCGGUGGAAUGAAAGUCUUAUAUCAGAACAACUACUUCGAGUAUCAUUAUUCCAAAAGUGGAGUGAAACUCUACCGGUGCGCUGCUUUUGCAGAUUUACAAUGUGAAGCUCGAGUCCUGGUGCAGAACGGGCUAGUUUAUUCGAUUAACGGAGACCAUUGUCAUUUAAAUGCUGAACAAUAAACGAAAACUGUCCUUUUAUUAAUCAAACUACCAAUCAGUAUGGACUGCAGUACUAGAUUUGAUAGUUCUCAACGUUCUAUUUGAUUUUUUUUGUGAAUAAUUCCAGGCGAUCUAUUACGAUCAAUGAAAGACUACAGUCAAAUUCAAACUCUAUUUGAAAUGCCACUUCCGGAGAUGGCUGGAGUGUCUGUACUGUAUCAGCGUGAGCCAGUCGAAAAAGCUGGCGACAAAAAACGUAAGCAGUAAUGGUAAUAUUCCAGAUUAUUAGGAAGAAGAAUUGCCAACCAAUUUCUUUUAUUUCAAAUUUCAAUCAAUAUUUACACGACAUCAUCACUCAUACUGAAUAAACUAUCACUCGGAUCAGGAUCGCAUGCCAAAUCGCUUCCAGGGACAAUCUCGAAACCAAAGUCGCACAAGUCGUUAAAUGUACAGCAUAUCACUGCUACCGGGACGCCCUACGAUUUGGUAAACGUUCCUACCAAGAAGGGUGGUGUCGGGGUUCAGCACGAUGGACACCACUUUGAGUACCAUUUUACUCGCAGUGGACAUAAGAUUUACCGGUGUGCGUGGCACUUGAAGGAACGGUGUCCAUCGCAAUUGUUGGUGUUCAACAGAAAGACCUAUGUCAUUUCUGAUGACCACUCGCAUACAGAACUGGCCCGAAUGAGUGAGGACAUUUUGGCUAAGACAGUAGCCUGUUAGUGUAGUCUUCAAAACUCCACGUAUUUUAUGUGCGUUUUUCCAAAUAAAGCAUAUUUUUCAUUCACAUUUAAAUUUUCAUCUAAUUUUGUAGUACUAGUUUUGACAGUUUUCGCCAUGGCAUUCAUAUAACGUCAAAGUUCUCUUUCGCUAUAGUACCUAUCAGCAGUGCGCAAUUUGUGAUGAGUACCAAGGGAUCACCACAGCUCUGCAUCGACGGAUUUCCAUUCACACGACACAUCGUGAAGGAGGACACGAUCUACUGGAGAUGUAUACAAUUCCGUGCGUUGCGAUGUCCUGCAAGGCACCGUCAGCGACGUUCGUCCGGAGCGUUGGAAGUUGUUUGGGCAAAGCACAAUCAUGGCAUUCUGGAGCGAAGGAAACGUGGCACAUUGCGAGAUAUUCUACUACAGCGCCAACGGAUGAACCAGAAAUCCGCUCCAUCUGAAGUGAAACCACAACCGACUACUAGCGCUGAAAAUGACAAGCCAAUUCCGGAAGAAACAUACGCUGCGGAAUAUCUGCUAGCAGAGCUAGAGGAUUUCGUUUUAAAAAAUGACUAAUCGUGAAUAUGUGGCAUUCUAGUACUUCGUCAAGUGUGCGAGAACACUGUUACUGUUAUUGUUCGCGAUAUAUUUAUCAUUGCUCGUUCACCGUUGUUUCUGGACAUUGUUGAUUGUGCUUAAUAAACGCACUUCACUUGUUUUGCACUAGUACUUCGUCAAGUUGUAGAGCAUUUAUCGGUAUCUCUGCCGACGCAAAGCGAGAUAAAAGCCAAUAAAUUUUUAUUUACACAUAUUUUGUUUUAUUCUAGUACUCCAUCGUACUCCAGAUGGUAUUGAAGGUAGAAUUCCUGCUUAUUUAUAAUUAUUUAUCCACUGCAGGUCAUGAAGCCGUUAUCCAUUACACCAUGAGCCGAAAAGGAACGCCCCAGCUGGAGAUCGAUGGGUAUCGCUACACGAGACAGAAAAUUUGCAAAACCACAAUUCGAUGGGAGUGCCUUCAGACGAAAGCGUUGGCUUGCAAGGCACGAGCCACCACCAGUAACACCCCGAAGGGACUUGUGCAGUACUACAACAACACACACAACCAUCCACCAUCCAUGGAACGGCGGAAGGCUGGCGAACUGCGCAAAUUGAAACAACAAACGGCGGAGAGGCUGAAGCUUUUACAACCCGAUCUUUCGGAGAUCCAUUACAAUGUUUAGAUAGUAAUAUACAAAGCCUGACAAUCUAUUACAUAAAGAUAACGUUGACGACAACACAUAUGUGAUACUCUGUAAAUAUUUUAUCAUAUGCAUCGGUGAACGAUAAAAGGAAGGAUCACCUAAAUAUGUAUUUGGUCAUUUGUCAUUUCGCCAUCCGUCUGGAGCCCUUUGCAAUUAAUGUUGAAACACUAUUAAUUGAAAUAUUCUAGUACCUUAACAUGUUUUCAUCGUUCAUAUUUUAACCAAUUUCGACGUUUUACAGAUAGCACCUAUUCGAACAUUCAGUAUGUGAUGAGUUCGAGAGGAGCGCCCCAGUUGGAUAUCGAAGGGUUUCGCUUCACAAGAAAACAUAAAGGCAAACAGGCUAUCCAGUGGAUUUGCGUGCAAAACAAAGCCAUCCAGUGCAAAGCGCGAGCUACUACUACGUCGCGAGGGAUGAUGCGUCAGCUGAUCAACAUCCACAAUCAUCCUCCUCAAAUGCAGCGACGGAAGGCGGGUGAGCUGCGUGAGCUGAAGCGCCAAAUGGAAGAACGGACAAUGUUGUUGUAUGAUUCCGCUAUGUGAACAUAAAUCACUAGAAAAGUAUAUGUUGGGGCGGUUUUCUAGUGAAACUGGCAACACUGGACAAAUACGAAGAUACUCGAGGAGCACGCAAUUUAGUGUACAGUUGGAAGUAGAAUGCCUCUGUGAAGAUUUUCUGUUUUCCAGAAAAGUAUAAACCUAGAGCUAAUUAUGUUUAACUUAUGCAGUACUAGAUUCUUAUUUGUUUUCGUCAUACGUCAUAAUUCAUCAUUAAUUAUUUUGCUGAAAUUCAACAAUGGAAAGUUCAAUUCUGGAGUUAUCUGAAACGCCUCUGAAUUGAACUAAAAUGUUAAAUAACUGCGACGUAUACGACUAAUCGCUAAAUAAUUCCCAUGGUUCAGUUCUAGAUUAUCUCCAGACGGGACCGCUUCCACCGAUCCACUACCACACGACGAAAAGAGGAUCUCUUCAGCUGGAAAUCGACGGCUAUCGAUUUACAAGAAUGAAAGUGCUGCAAACCACCAUUCACUGGUCUUGUUUACAAACAAAGGCACUUCGCUGUAAGGCUCGAGCCGUUACCAAUAACGACCUGCAGGGUACUAUUCGAAGAUGUUAGUCGGUUCGAGGCAAACUACGUUUCCAGUAGAAAAGGAACUCCUCAGUUGAUAAUCGAUGGUCAUUGCUACAGCAGGCAAAGGGUUCGCUUACGAACUAUUCGAUGGCGUUGCGUGCAGUUUAAAGCUUUACAUUGCAUGUCACGGGCGACAACCGAUCGUCAGAUCAUUUCAGUCGAUGGAGCACACAACCAUGAAGUCAUCAAAGAGCGGAGGAAGAAUGGCGAACUUCGAGAGCUGCUGGCCAGGCGACAUGCUGAACGAACCAGCACCUGUGUCAAUUUAAAAGUUAAAGAUAUAGACAGUUGAAUAAAUCAGUCUUUGUAUGCUAUACUAUUUUCGCUUUUUAUGCAGUACUAGAAUGUGGCAGUAAAAUAAUCUGUGAAGAUAAAUUGAACGUUCCAAUCUUCUAUACAGAUUGCUACACAUACGAAGAGCUGGAUGUGCACGCUAAACUGAGCAAGAGAGGCAAGGUUCAGCUGAUGAUCGACGGGUUUUCGUUUUCGCGUGAAAAGGUUCGUCCGCAUACCAUUCGAUGGAUUUGCAAUCAAGCAUGGAUUUUGAACUGCAAAGUUCGAGCUACCAGUGAAAAAAUGAGCGGAAAGCUUAUAUCGGUCCGAGGAGCGCACAAUCACGGCGUUGUCAGCAGUCGACGAAAGUGGGGUCAAUGUAAAUUCAUCAAAGAACAACGCGAGAGGGAUUCGGAGCAGUCAGUGGAACCUCCACGUAAAGGAGGAAGACCCAAAAAACAGCUGGAGCAAUGGCAACUAUAGACUGUGAAAGUGUAAUUUCUAACAAUAAAUAAACUAUUGAUUUAUUCAUUACGUGCUUUUCUUUAGUGUGUUUUAAUGAAGGUUUAGUUAGAAAAUUUUAUCAUAUUUUUUUUCCAGGCAACUUUUCGUACGUAAUGAGUCGUCGAGGUACGCUGCAGUUGCAGAUCAAUGGUCAUAUAUUCACUAGAUCGCAGGUCCGCGAAAAAAUAAUAAUUUGGGUUUGCAGUCAAAGGAGAGCCCACCGUUGUAAAGCUCGAGCGACAACAAGCCGUAAAGAGGGAAGCGCUAUGAUUUCGCUGAGAGAGGAUCAUACUCACGAUGUUAUUAGCGGACGGAACGUUCGUCGAAAAAAGAUUGUGCCGACUUCUGCAGUUAUUCUUUCCGCCACGGAAUCCGACUUGGAAUAUGAUGAAUACGAUUUGUUAUGAUAAAUAUAUAUAUUUGCAAAUCAUACACAUAUUCUUUUCUCAAUUGUUAUUCUAGCUCUAAAAGACGAUUUGACAAAGUCUUAAUUUUAUGUGUUUCAGUUCCGAAGGACGUGGCCUACAUAAUGACGAGCCGUGGAAUACAACUAACGGUCAACGGGUACAUAUUCUCUCGUCAAAAAGUCUCCACGCACUGCGAAAUGUGGCGCUGCAUGCUUUCGUACUCUCAUAGGUGUCCAGCCCGGGCAAGCACGUACAAACCACGAAACGGUCAGGGUGCUCGAAUUUCUCUCCGAAACCAGCACAACCAUCCGAUCGGCGCGACCAGCCGCAAGUAUAAGAAACUAGCAGUAAAUAAAUCACCCAAGUUGCCAAAAGCUCUCAGCGUAAAUAAACCAAAGGCUUCAACGGAGCAGUAACAGUAUAGUUAACAUUAACAUUCGCAUCGCAAAUAUAAGAUUUAAAAAAAUCAGUGUGAUCCUUUCCGUAAAUCAGUGACAUAUCUUUCGUGAUGACCAGAAGGGGUCGAAUGCAGCUGUCUGUCAGUGGAUAUCUUUACACCAGAGAUAAAACACGAGGGGAUUCACAGUUUUGGGCGUGCAACCAAUCAAAAGUGUUGAACUGCACUGCACGGGCCACUACACACAAGGUGCAAAAGAACGGCUCACCGAGAAUAACUCUACGAGGACAGCACAAUCAUGAAGUGAUCACAGAACGACGAAAAUCCGGAGCGCGUGCCCGUCUGAUCGAGAAAUGCCGGAAAGAACGUGGUCUUGUACCUUGAUGUCAGUAGGAAAAUGGUAAAUUUUGAUGAAUAUAAUGUAAAAUUUGCGUAAUUGAAUUAUGUUUAAAGAUGGAUCAACUAACGUCAUAAUAUAGUACUACCUUAAUAACAAAAACAUUUUGAAAUAUUGCAGAUAUUAUAAAGUUUUGUUCUUACCAAACAAGGGACACCCAGCUAUUGAAAAAUGGAUUUAUGUACAUGAGAGUCAAGGCUCUAGGAGCAAUGUUCUAAAGUGAAUGCCAAUUCAAUCACAUGAUCAUCAACGAUCGACGCCAAGCCGGUCAACGAGCCAAACUUGUGGAGCAAUGUAUUCACGAAAAAUGCUUGAAGCAAUAGCGGUGACAUAUAUUCUAGUACUUUAUCGUUUCAAUGAUAUUAAUAAAUGCUAUUACAUUUUGAAUGCCUAAUGUGUUUUGCUCUAGUACUACAGUUAAAAUGCGUUGCAAUUCUCAUUACUAAAAAAUUUUCCCAAUAAUUCAGAUAUCUCAUUCGUCAUGAGCAAACGAGGUAAAACUCAACUUUGCGUCGAUGGAUUUCUCUACAUGCGUGUGAAGGCUAGCGACGAACUUCAGUACUGGUCGUGCAAUCAGUUCAGGGUGCUUGGCUGCACGGCUCGUGCCACAACUGGAAGGGGGAAAAGAGACGGCAAACCGAUUAUCAAGCUGCGCGGCUUUCACAACCACCGGAUUAUUAUGCAGCGUCGAAAACCUGGCGAAUGUGCUAAAUUGAAAGAGCAAUACGCCCGUGAACGAGACGGGCUACCAGAGAGGACUAAACAUGCUGUACCAGAACAAACGAUGUCAUUAUCAAUACCAUCGGUAUCACAACCGUCGCUUUUACCAAUGGCACAGUGCUUUUUGAAGCAAGAAAAAUAAAUGUGAAUUGAUGAUGUAUCUUUUUUCGGUAUUCUAUUACUUCGUCGCUUAUAUAUCGAGCUGAUAUAAUGCGAAGUACCGUGUCAUUUCGGGAGGUCUGUAGUAAGCAAUAGAUAUUAUUAUCAAUAAACUUAAAAACGUUGAGUUAUACUUAAGAUGUUGCGAUCAGGGUUUACAAGAAAAGUUAAUAAUCACACUAAAUCGCGUCGUGCCAUAAACGAUAAAUAUCCACAAGUUGUAAUAAAUUUAUAAACUAGAAAUCAUAAAUUGUAGAGUGAAACAUCAUAUUUUUGUUAUAAAUAGAAAAAAAAAGUCUGUUGUAGUGCUACAGAAAGAAAAAGAAAAUUCAAAUUAUUCUCGUUCAAAGCUAUUUCUUAAAAAUAUGCAAUGUAUUUCGAAGAAUUUUCACCGAAUCGUACACACAUUUGACAUUAUUACAAAUCUCGUUGCAGUUGUCUGUCCAGAGGAAAUUUCCUUCGCAUUGAAUUACCGAGGAACGCAGAACAUGGUGAUUCGGAACCACUUCUUCGUUCGCAACAAAAUUUCCCAACGGUAUCUUUUCUGGAACUGUGCCCAGCAGAAAGCUCUAGGCUGUCGCGUUCGAGCUACAAUGCCACGACCACCCAACAAAGGACCUGUCAUAUGCCGAGGGGAACACAAUCAUGAAGUGGUUUCCGAACGACGAAAGCAUGGCGCUCUCAGAGAAUUACUGAACAAACGAAAGCUAGAUAAAGAGCAGUCGAGUACAAAGAGAUGUUAAAGACAUGUAGAAUAAAUAAAAAUUAAGUGAAAUUACUUAUCAUAUGUCUUUUUAGAUUUGAAUACUCAAAUUUUUCAUUCCGGAGAUUUAUUAUGUAUUGAUGUAUUACAGAUAACUAUACCAGCGAUAAUGCAUCCGGAAUGGAUAUAUGUUACAUGGUGACAGCUCGUGGAACAACUCAGCUGGUUGUGGAAGGAUAUCCGUUUACCAAACUCAACGAACGGGCUCAUAUGACGUUUUGGGCGUGCUGUCAAGCUAGACCUUUAAAUUGCAAAGCCCGGGCCACAACAUAUCGCGCUUCGAGGGAUGGAAAAAUCACGUUCAGAGGAGAGCAUAACCAUGGCAAAAUCCAUGAACGGCGCAAAGCGGGUGCGCUCAGAAAACUACUCGAGCAACGUGACAAAGAGAAAGCUAGACAAAAAUUGUUGAAAUCAGUGGGGAUUGUGUAUGAAUAAAAGAGCCACAUAAAAUGAUGCUGUCUUUUGUCUAUCGUGAAGUAAAAAUGGCAUCAUUGCUUGAUUCUAAAUGUCAUAAGUAGUGUUGCCAAAUUUUCUAAUCUGAUUCAUGGUUUUAAAUAAACUAAAAUUGAGAUGUGUUUAGAAAUCUAGACAUUCGUUACGUGGACACGAGCAGAGCGCAUAAGCUAGUCAUACAGGGUUACAGCUUCACCCGAAAGCAAAAACGGGAACGAUACAUGAUUUGGGAGUGUUGCCAGUCGAGGCCGUUGGGAUGCAAAGCAUCGGUAACCAUCUAUGUGACAGGAAACAAAGUGAAUAUGCGAGGAAUGCACAACCAUGCAAUUAUGACGCGAAGACAAAGACUGAGCUAGCGCAAACGGUUGAUGGAGGCACGCCUGCAGGAGCGUAUCUGGCGGAAAACCGAAAAAGAGAAGCGAUCUACUACAAUCAAUGGAAGACUAUAGUCAAGUUCAAACCGAAUUUGAAAUGCCACAUCCGGAGAUGGCUGGAGUGUCUGUACUGUAUAAGCGUAAUCCAGUCGAAAUAAUAGGCGACGAAAAACAUGCUAUAGGCCCCAGCAAAGACGUCAGCUUCGUAUUGCAAGGCAACCGUCGCAAACUGUAUGUCAAAGACCACUGCUACUACCGGAAACACACUUUGAAAAAUCACACACAGUGGCGUUGCACUGAAUACAGAGCCUACGGGUGCUUGGCUUCGGUGAAGGUCUCGCGAAACGGAUUACAAAUGAAUCUCCAAGGAGUGCACGACCAUCCCGUCAAGAAGGAGCAUCGUCGAGAAGGCCAGCUGAGAGAACUUAUGGAGAAACGAAAGCAAACGGUUAACGAACGAAAGCAACAGCGCCGAAAAUAAACUUGCAACAGCAUUGAAUCAAAUAUACCUACCCUUUUGAAUAAUUUUAAUCUUGUUUGAAUGUUUCUGCGUGUAGCUUUUUGAUCUGCAAGUGCCGCCAUCAUUCACUGUUGGUUCAAUUUCAGAGCUGCCGAAGUCGUUUUUCGUUCUGAGUGGCCGAGGAAAUCUCCAACUGUCGAUCGAUGGAUACGUGUUCACGCAAGAGCUGGUCAAGAACAACGACAUAGAUUGGGCUUGUUCGCAAUCAAAAGCUUUGCGCUGUAAAGUUCGCGCGACGACAUCUCGUGAGACAGAUCGCAAAGUGCUCUCGAUCCGAGGCGAACACAAUCACGGGAUAAUUACUGAACGUCGGAAAAGCGGUGCCUUGAAGGCUCUGCUGGAACAACGCAAGAAAGAGCGCGAUGAACGACGAAUGAGAUUGGGAGGAGUUUUUUCAUCACCAGUCUAGAAAUCUUUAUUGGAUAAAUAAAUACUACACGAUAAUAAUGAAUUGUUUGAUUAUAAUCUGAUUGAAGCAAUAGAUUUGUUGGUGGUUUCACCUCUACUUACCUAUUUUGACCUACUUUUCAUCUCGUUUAUAGUUGCAUAUUGUUUCCAUGACGCCUCAGAAGCAGUAAGAAAACCAAACGUUCAGUAUUCAUUGAGUAACAAAGGCACCCUGGUGCUGUUACUGGAUGGAUUCUCUUUCUUCAAGGAAAAAGCACGCAACGGUUCUACCUUUUGGCGAUGCUCGCAGUAUUUUGCGCUCAAGUGCCGAGCUCGCGUUCGCAUGCCGCUUCCACCGAACGAUGAAAAUCUAGUUCGCCAAGGAGAACAUAAUCACAUCUCCGAACGACGCAAAUAUGGCUCUCUGAAAAACAAUAUAAAAAACGAUCAAGAAAUUACGCAGCACCAUGAGAUCUCUGACAAGGGGUUGCUCAGUAAAUGAUAUGCCAUUUUAAAUAUGCGUAACAAGAUUACCAAAGAGAAAUUCGAUGAAAAAUGUUAUAUUGUAGUACUAGAACACGUGUGUAUUAUUUUCAUUUCAGUUCGUUUCUCAAUGUUACACACGGAUGAACUAAUCUUUGUCGUGCAUUCGUUUCAUUUAUUUCCUGCUUGUCUCUGGCCUGAUUCCCCUUCCGACAGAAAAUGGAACCAAACCAUACGUCCAAUAUACGAUUAGUAAUCGUGGAACUCCAUUGCUAAUGCUGGAUGGAUUCGCCUUCACCAGGGAUAAAGUACGCAACAGUGUUACCUCAUGGAGAUGUUGUCAACACCGUACACUUAGGAACGCUCUAGAUUCUAGUACUACAUGGGGUAUGCCUUAAUAUUCUUUGAUUUCUUUCAGCUGCAAAGCUCGCGCCAACGCCGUCCGGGAUCGCAGUGGCCAAAAGAAAAUCGUCAUCAAACGCUUUCACAAUCAUCCGCUUGUAACCGAGCGUAAAGAGAAAUGUUCCUUAAAAUAAAAUUAUGCGCUACUUCUAGUACCUCAGCAACAGUUAGCUCAAAGCGAAAUAAGCCGUGUUUCAAUUUUCUCUUUUGUUUACAGUUUUUCUAUAUCGUCCGUUGAAAUCUAUCUCCUAACAAGAACAUUUGAUCUGCAUUCUAGGGAUGGUGACGUACACUACAAGCCGUCGAGGUCGUCGACAGAUCUGCUACUUCGGACACUCAUUCGAGAUGGAAAAGGAACGGAAAGGGUCCACCAGCUGGCGGUGCGGUCAGGCAAAGCCUCUUAAAUGCAAGGCCAGAAUUAUCGAGCGAAUUUCAAAGUACGGCGACCCAAUGUAUGAAAUUGUGCGUUCGACGCAUAAUCACGACAUUAUAACUGAGAGAAGGCGACGAGGGUGGUUGAAAGGUUAUAAUGAGCUAUCAAUAAUGAAAAAAGAGGAACAAUAAAUUCACAGUUUCUUGGCAUGUAAUCUAGUACUACUUUUUGGAAUUAAAUUGUUACAAUGGACUCAAGUAGUUCUUCACUACAAACCUGUUUUGGCGAGUAAUCUAGUACAACCCAUCUAUAUAAUUUAGAACAAUUUGACUGGCUUUAUAGACCUGGAAUUACAAUCUAGUACAACUACCCGAGCAGAAGGGCAUACCUUACAAAUACCAUGCGAAGAGCAACAUGUGCUCUAAUACCUAAAAUUGUUAUUGCUGCGUUAUUGUACGAAAUGGUAUGAGAACAUCAUAAUAACAGUUGGAGGUAUUUGAGCAGAGUUUGGUAUUGAUGUAGUAUUUGUUAGUUUAGCAGUGAAAAUAACCGAAGAACAAGAUUUGCUAUUACAUCAUGAAGUCAUUGAACAUAUGGUCGGCGUUCAGUCAGAGUGGACUACGCGAUUUUUGUGGCAGGUACAGAUAAGCUGAGGAAUUCUUUAAACCUAAACUUUUCGACGUUUUUUAAUGAAGAUGUGUCAUUACAUAAAGGAAUAAUAGUAUUUCUGAAAAUAAUGCCAGAGAUAUUAUAUUUUAAGCGUUUGCAGGACGUUUUCUCGAAAUCAUUGAAAAACAGAUGGUCCGGACUGACUUAAAGCCGACCAUAUGAAACAUUUAAUAAUAAGAAAUGUUAUUAGUUUGUUAUUCAAUAACUUUGGAAUAACAAAUACAGCAAUUGAAAUUUUAGGUAUGCAUUCAUUAUUGAAAUAACAAGACUUGUUAUUUUCUAGGUGUUAUUUAUACAAAAUUUUGGUAUUCGUUUUUGUUAUUUUGCCUCUUAUUACCACCUAAUAAAGGGCAUAUCAAGGUAUGGUAGUAUUUAAGAUAAAUACCUUGAUAUGUUAUUCACUUGUUAUUUUCUUCUGCUCGGGUAUACAGCUCAAUGUAUAUUCCAGUAGCAACAAAAUAAUCAACUUUUGAACUAUUAUAGGACACUGUUACGGUUCGGCGGAGUACUCAAUCAGCCUCAAAGGCUCCCUGCAGUUGAUGGUGCAGGGAUUUCCGUACACUCGCCAUAGCUGCAAGGGCGGUAAGGUCUACUGGCGGUGCGUGCAGUUCAUGUCACUUGGCUGUCGGUCUAGGGUUCGUACUCACCAGGAGCUGAUCGAGUCGAUAGAGCACGAACACAAUCACGAUCGAAUGUUGGCCAGGCGUAAACGAGGAGCUUUAAAGCAGUUGAUGCAAGAGAGGAAGCGCGAGAAAUCUCUUGUUGCACUGGAUCAGUGUGACUUGGUUGAACUUGACUGGGUUGAAUAAAAGUUUCUGUUGCUAGAUGACCUUGCUGGAUUGUUGAUGUCAAUAAUAACUCUGAAAAAAAAAAAAAUGUGUGACUGUAGAAUGUGACGGAGUUUCGUCUUUCAGAACCUAUCUCAUUGAUACAGGUGAUUACCGUAGUACCAGACGAAGCGGAACCUCAUCCCUAUAGCUAUAACUAUCGUGGAAAUCUUGUGUAUGAUAAGUACACCUUUUCCAAAAUGGCGGCUCACGGGACGGGCAACAUUGUCUACUGGAGGUGCACGGGCUAUCGUAAGCAUAAGUGUAGAGCUACAUUGAAAACGCGAGGCAAGGAGUUGAUCGUGGUUCGCCAGGACCAUAACCAUGAGCCCUUCGUGAAGGGAAGCGUUUUCACUUCCGAUUUGCCAAUUUGGAAGGAAACAACGGGAUCUAACGCUUCUUAAAAUUUACCGUUUUACUCUUUGCUAUGAUGCCACAUUGGAAUUUACCUAAUAAUAAUUACAAGAACAAUACAUUACAUUUUUGCAAACAAUAAUCUUCAUUGUUUUUCUACCAUACCAUUAAUAUAAUCUUGCGUUCUAGUACUACACAACUUCAUACUAACGUUACACUUGUAUUUCUCCAGGAAAACUUCUGUCGAUUUCGACAAUGCCGCUCAUAUUGAAAAAGAUCAAAGUCAAGCGUACAAAACCGCCAUCUCCGUUGAAAUCCGUUCCUGCAAUGAAUGCCCCCUCUGAACGUCCGACCGUGGUAAGCGCCGAUCCGGAUCAACUGCUCAGGCUGGACAACAGUACAAUUUCCAAAGACAAUAUCGUCAAGCAGCUAUCGAACGGCCAUGCUCUAGUACUGCUGAAAAGGACACGCGUCAAAGGUUUUUGUGUGAGCUGUAUUCGUUCCAUGCAGGAUCCGGAGUACAAGAAGAAGUUGAACAAAAUUAUUACCUACUGCUCGGGAUGCCCCGGUGGGCAGUGGAUCUGUGAAGCGUGUUUUGAUUCCAGUCACGAUAUAAAGAACUAAAUGAAUAAAAAUUUAAAUUACCUAGCUGCUAUCGAUAGUUAUUUCCUUUUGUGAUUCUUUUUUAUCAAUACUUUUCAAAACUAACAGAGUUCCAAUCAUUUUCAGGUAAAGCUCUGUUCCAGAUCGGCAACCGAAACUCGCUGAAGCUUUUCUACAGCGGACACUUCUACACAAGGUCCUACACGGCGGAAAAAUCAAGCAAGUGGGUCUGCGACAGGAAAAACAUGCUCAAAUGCAAAGCUCGAAUACGCCUGAACCGAGACAAAACUUGUGACGUGCUGAACGCCAAUCACAACCAUCCGGCUCGAAACCCUAGAACUAUCGGAAUGCUGAUCGAUUUUACCGAUCGAGAUUUGAGCACCAUGCUCCAAAAGGAUGCCGUCAAAGAAUUUCCCAAUCCUAAUCAUUGCAAAAUCACCAAAAAAUAAAAUAAAAUGAAUGAAUCAACCAACAUUUUUAACUGUCCACAUUCUAUUACUUCAUCUUACGAAUCGUAGCGUGACACUUCACUAAAACCUCUCCUUGACUUUUCGUUCCAGUGCACAAGAUCAUGAAACUACAGAAACGACUCUACUACCUCAAAAAGGUGUCCGGAGAGUUUGUUCAACACGGAGAAAAUCCAGUUUCUUCGCAGAUUGAGUACUUGCAACGCGAUCUGGAUGUGCUUACGGGGACUCUACCGAAAAUGGAGAACGCUCCGGAUUGUAAGCCAUCUUCCGUUCCGGGAUUCGAGUUUCCUUUGACCGAGCAGGAGGAAAUUGAACGCUUGGAGGCGGAGGUGCGAAACGAUCCGUAUGUCCGGUGCCAAUAUGUGAACUAUCUUAUCAACAAAAAGCCAGCGCCGAUGAAUCUAAUACAGUUUCUACCAAUGGUGUUUUCCGAUGAGGCCCUUAUUGCCUACAACUAUCAUGGUUCGCAUGCUUCCGGAAAAUCUAAGCAUUCGAUGAAGGCGUACACCAUUUUUUCGGAAUGCUUUUUGGAAGCCUUCGAAGGAGAAGGAUUGGAUAUGGACACAUUGACCAAGCAGCUGGUAAUGGCCAUCAAACAGAGCCGGAACCGUAUGCGGCAACGUACAUUCCGAGCGAAGAAGACGCUACAACGAACCAGCAGCGACAAGGGUUCUGAGUGAUUAGUGUGGAAUGGGAUGUCUUGCUUUCAGAAUUUAAAGUACAUUCAAUAAAAUUGAGAAGAAGUGAA